UACGGAGGGAGCUAGCGUUGUUCGGAAUUACUGGGCGUAAAGCGCACGUAGGCGGCUUUUGUAAGUUAGAGGUGAAAGCCCGGGGCUCAACUCCGGAAUUGCCUUUAAGACUGCAUCGCUAGAAUUGUGGAGAGGUAAGUGGAAUUCCGAGUGUAGAGGUGAAAUUCGUAGAUAUUCGGAAGAACACCAGUGGCGAAGGCGACUUACUGGACACAUAUUGACGCUGAGGUGCGAAAGCGUGGGGAGCAAACAGG
rnacentral:rRNA from 1 species